rnacentral:misc_RNA from 1 species
UGGAGACGCGGCGUUAAGUACAAAUUCUUCUGAUACAUCGAUUAUUUUUCUCUUGUCAUAGCUAUUUUGUUUAUAUCUUAAAUUAAAAUGGGCCGUCGGAAGUCAAAAAGGAAGCCUCCACCGAAAAAGAAAAAUAUUGAGCCUUUGGAUCAGCAGUUCAAUUGCCCAUUUUGUAAUCAUGAAAAGUCAUGCGAAGUAAAAAUGCACUAUCUGAAGUUGUGCAGUUUUUUAGAUAGCACAAUUGCGAUGGCUUUACACUCAAUAUCAUCAUGGCCAAUGCUUUGUUAUCGAGCGCAUCCCAGCCCUCUGCGUCUGCUGCUGGUAUCUGUCCACUGAUGACUUUCCACGCUUCUGCAUGCACCAGUACGCUGCGCAUUUGGAUGCUCCAGAGUCGCAUUGGAAACGGACUUAUUUUCAACACAUACCAUACCACCAUUUAUCAAAUUUGAAAAUGGUGUAGAAAAAAUAAACUUAACCCUUCGACCAAGAUGACGCACUAAGUAGGCAAAUUAUGGUUUCCAACUCAACUGGAAUUUAUUUGUAUAUUAUUUAGCUUUGUAAUUCGGUAUUAUCGAAAUCAACUAAAUCCGUGUUGAUCAUUAGUGCAGUAUUUCAGAAGAAUAUGUAUAGAAAAUAGAAAACGAUUGAAAAUAAUUUUAAAUUAUAACAGUAAGUUAUUUUGUACAAAAAUAUAUUCUACAAGUAAGGAAUAUUUACAAAUUAUGCUACUAUUGUAUAUUUUGCUUCGUGUCCCCAAUAGUAACAUUAAAAUAAAUAUAUUUUACUGAAAUAAGAUAUAAAAGAUAUGUCUACAAAGUGGCAAAAUUUAUUAUAUAGGAUGUCACAAGUAAAUCGCAAAUCCUUACAUNAGGUACUAGCUUUGCCCCGCUGUGUUGCCAACGAUUUAUUAGGGGAUGUAGUGGUCCUACCUCAAUGCCACUUACCAAGCACUCAUAAAUUAUAAUAAGCAAAUUCAUGAAUUUGUAAAUUGUAAAGACCACACAAGAAUGCAUAAGCAAAGCGACAUACACAAAAGAGUUUCGCAUUACAAACGAAACGAAUUGCCACACGCUGUUCCAAUAUUUGACAAUGGCGGAACACAUGUAGCAAUACAUUCAAUAAUAAUA